GGUAAGGAGAUCCGACUUUCUUUUCUACUCAUGUGAUAAUGGGGGCUUCGCGUUCUAUCUUUUAGAACUAUGGUUUAGUUUACCCAUUUAUUUUAUACAGCUUAAUUUUCGUUAGUCUGUGGUUAGUCGUCAGGUCUAAUUUAGUAGUCAAACGCAUUUCCUUUUCUUUAAUUCAAUUUGGUUUGACUUCAGACACCAGCGCAGCUUGCACUAACCUAGGCUUUGUUUUUGGCUAAUAAGUUUACAGUUUAUGUCGUUACUUUCUUUUCCAGUUCUGGAUCAGUUUGUUCUUUUUUCUUUUGAUACUUUGUAUUCCUUGUUAUGAUUUUUUGAAUGGUUUCUUUUUUUUUUCCUUCAACGGUGGAUUACAGCAGUUUUCUCCAUCAAAGGAUCAACCACAUAGUUGCCAGUUUACAGAUCGUGGUGAGAUCUACCUAAUUGGUUUUUUUUUUUCCCAAUCUGCUGCUGGAUUACACAUUUUUUUGUGUUGAAUGGACAUUAAGUUUUGGUUGUUUCAAGAGUAAUCUGAAGAUUUUGCCGGGCUGCUCGAACGAUUCUUCCUCCAGAUUCUGCGGAAAUCUUUCUUGAACUUCCACACCUGGAGUUAGUUGCAGUAGUUCCUGUUUUCCUGUGUUUGUCAAUAACAGCCCACACAAUGCUUUUCGUUUGGAGAGCCAAGUUGAGGCCUUUUGCAUCUGAAGAGACAGGCAGCUAGUGUUCAAUGUAUGUUUUCUUUUCUUUACAGCAUGCAUGAAUCAUUCAAGUGUGCAUUUCAGUUCAGAUCAAACAUGUGGAAUGGAUUAUAUGGACAGCAAUGUUCUGUCUGUCCUGAAGUGAACCCGGGUCUGAUUGACGAGUAUUCAGUGGUGUGGUGCAUCAUAAUAUAAGCCUCAUGAUAUAGAGAUACUUGACGAAUUGGAAGGCCCACAGCACAAGUAAUAUAGAGAGGAUUCUACAUUAACCUAAACAGAGUGCUGUGGUUAUUGCCUUUCAGGUGCUCCUUGUGGGCGAAAUAAAAACAGCGCUGCAUGUUUUUAUCUCAUGUAGUAUAUGUACAAAGGAUAGAAAAAGGAAGAAGGUCUGUGAAGUUAAAGUAAACAGUUGAAUUUAUGGGAGUUACAUUCCUUAUAUAAAUCUUUGCAUUUCAUUAGCACUGUGUAAUUUGGAACAGCGUGAUUUGAACGAAUGCAAGCAUAGAUUCUAAAAUGAGAUCUGGGAUUUUUUGGGCGCUGUAAUAUAAGUUCUUCAGAGAGAGAUCAACACAAAGCAUUGCCAAACCUUUUCAUAUUCGACGCUGCAGAGAGCGCAUGAAUAACUACAGUACUCCAUGAACCUGUGGCAGCUCAUCAUAACAGGCUAUGGAGGCUAAGCCUACGUGUAAUUCUGUACAAGUUAAAAAAGCGUGUUGCUACUGGCUAACAUGUAGCCUCAGAAUAGGUGGGAUAGGUGUCUGUUGCCAGGCAAGUUAUGGGUCACGAGUGGCUACUCCCUUAAGUGUCGAUUUUCAUAUAGUAUAUUGUUUAUAACGUUGUAGUGUUGUUUUUUUUUUAAUUCAUACGCAGUUGUCCUUACUUUCAAUUGAGGAAAAAAUAACAAAAAAGGUCAUCCAAAGCCUAAAUUGGACAUUCUUCAACAGGGAGGACCAAAACAAAAUUUGCCUUUUUAAUUGCUCAUGGUACGAAAAAACAAAAUGGUUGACAGCGAGUAUUCACAGUUUUGAUUUUUUAAAACCGGCCCUUCAUCAUUUCUGUGGGCUACAGUGAUUUAAAAAAAUUUCCA